rnacentral:tRNA from 1 species
ACCUGUCUGGCUCAGUCAGUAGAGCAUGCAACUCUUGAUCUCAGGGUUGUGAGUUCGACUCCCAUGUUGGGUG